rnacentral:lncRNA from 1 species
UUGAUGUCAGUUUGUAUUGCACAGAAAUGUUGGGUUGUAGGUUCCUCUUCAAAAAGCCAAGCAAUGCUUCAUAUCGCAAGCACUUCUCAGGUCCUACCUUCGAGAGAAGAUUCUAUACACCUAAGAGCAAGAUAAGGUAAUUCUUGAUACUAUAGAUCACUCGUAUACUGCAGCCGCUUUUUAUCCCGGAGGAUCACCAAAUUUAAUGUGAACCAUUGUGGCUAUUUCAGGUAGAUUCGAGCAGAGUUUGGGAGUAGAAUUUGCCACAUUCAAAAGUUGAUUGUCAUAAAUUCUAGAGGUCAUUUCUUUUUUUUAUCUAUUUUCAUCAUUUCAAGUGCCAAAAUGAAGCUUUCAUGGAGCACUAUGAGAGUACAAUGAUGUUGUAGAGGUUCAACAUACUUUGCUGAUAUAUAUACAUUUGACGACAUUUAGCGCUUAAAAUGAACUAAUCAAAGUAUAACUUUCCUUUUUGGUUUACUUUGACUAUGUGUACCUGAUCCUUCCAAUCUGAAAGAAAUUAGAUAAUGUGACAUCAGUUAGAGUUGAUCGCCAGAGUCGAGAUCUAACUCUUGGAUAAGUUUCACUCUAGUAUAAUUUCUUCAUGUUUUUAGAAGCUUUCUCCUUCUUUGACUAGAAAAGGAAUGAAAUUUAGAAAAGUAGACCUCAUUAGUAUAAAUAAAAUUUUUAUGUAUCAAUUUAUUAUUAACUAAUGAAAUCUUUUCUUGAAUGAAGCAUUAACUAAUGAAAUCAAAAAAGGCUAGAAGCUCUAUUU